AAGGGCUCAAGAAACAUUUUCAGAGAAAAACAAAACAAAACAGAACUAUGCUAGGCAUGAACAUGUACCCUGUAAUUCCAGUACUCCAGAGGAUCUGAGUUCAAGGCCAGUCUGAACUACUAAGCAAGACUUUGCCUGAAAAGGCAGGCAGAGUGGAAGAGGAAGAACACAGGCCCGUCACUCCAUCCUUCACAUUUCAACACAGAAGGAAAUAUGGAAAACUAAAUGGAAACCAGGACAGGCCCACAAGCAGGUGAGAUAAAUACAGAGCUUGGCCAGGAAACAACCCCACAGCAUCUGGCAGUCUGUUCAGCACCCUGCCCCCUCCAUAUCUUCAACUUUCAAGGUUAAAGUAUGUCUCAUUUCAAAGUCACAGCCAUGGGCAGAUGCAGGGCACCUCUGCAAAGUGCACUCCGGCUCAGAAAGCCUGCCCACUGACACCACUUUCAAAGGAAGAGCCACUUUCAUCUCUAGCUGAUUGUCAGACCUAAGGAAAGGCCUGCUGGCUGCUGCAGCAGAGCCAACCUGGCUGGCUGUUAUCCACAAGAGAACAGCACCCUGACUCCCAGCCCCAGCAAACAGCUGAGCUUGGGAAAAGGAAAGCAGGAGAAAGAAGCUCUUAAACAAGGCAGCUAUCCCACAAAUGCCCUGCCUAUAUGCCAAGUGUCACUUCAAAGAGAUCAGACAAAGGGCUUUGCACUUAGGAAUCGGGGCCAACUCUAUUGACAAUGCAUUACUAAGACCCAGUGUGCCAUUGUGAUUUGGGGAAAGAGCUCAGCUGGUAAACUGCAAGAAUCUGACUUGAACUCCCAGAGCCCACAGAAAAAUCCCUAUGUGGCGGCAUGCUUAUAAUUCAGACCUGGGAACAGAGACAGGUAGAUCAUUGAAACUCACUGGUAACCUGACCUGCUUGGUGAGUUCUAGGGAAUAGAGACCCUGUCUUGAAAAAUUAUAAAUAAAUAAAUAAAU